rfam:Schistosoma mansoni strain Puerto Rico chromosome W, complete genome
AGCCUUUUGAAUCCAUGCAAAGAUUUCAUCAGGCACUAGACCAUCAGUACUGAUUAGACUCCCAAGAUAAGUGAAGUG